UACGUAGGGUGCAAGCGUUGUCCGGAAUCAUUGGGCGUAAAGCGCGUGUAGGCGGUUCGGUAAGUCCGCUGUGAAAGUCGGGGGCUCAACCCUCGAAUGCCGGUGGAUACUGUCGGACUAGAGUACGGAAGAGGCGAGUGGAAUUCCUGGUGUAGCGGUGAAAUGCGCAGAUAUCAGGAGGAACACCAAUUGCGAAGGCAGCUCGCUGGGACGUUACUGACGCUGGAGACGCGAAAGCGUGGGGAGCAAACAGG
rnacentral:rRNA from 1 species